rfam:Ixodes scapularis strain Wikel colony gcontig_1108379777670, whole genome shotgun sequence.
AUACUUACCUGGUGUCGGGGAAUCCGUGAUCCGCGAGGCGGAGCCCCCAGGGCGAGGCGCGGUCAUUGCACUUCGGCCGUGUUGACCCCUGCCACUUUCUCAAACUGAGAUAGAUGGGACAUGCAAUUUUUGGUAGUGGGGGAUUGGCGUACGCGCUGUCCCCCU